CUCUGUUUCCUUGUUCCAGUGAAGCAGAAACACUGAGAGAUGGAAGCCAAGUCCACAUCCUCGCAGCAGAGACGUCAGCUUGCUGGUCCUGGGAGUCGGUGCUUUUACUUUUAGCAUCCUGAUGAGCCAGGCAUUCGCUACAGAAAUAAACCAAACGGGAGGCAACUGGUAGAAUAUUAGACUGUGUUUGGUCUGGCAGGAACUUCACACUUCCAUCUCCUUCGUACCUCCUCUCUCAUUUCCUAAUCAAGUUAGGAUUCGCUGAGAUCAGAAUUAAGUUUCUAUUUCCUGAGCCAGUGAAAGCCAAGGGAGAUGACUUAGCAUUUGCUGGGCAAGGUGGUUAUGACUUAACCAAGGAGAAGAAGGAAGGCAAAGAGGGACCUCAGGCACCCCAGAUCUCAGCUAAACACAUCUUCUGCAGUAGGAAAGAGCGAGAGACCCUGACCCAAAACUGUACCAUCACCUCCAUGACUCUAAUUACGGGGAGAAGAAAAUGGAAGACAGGAUGAUCUCCCAAACAGUGAGUCGCUAAAUGUAUGGUUCCUCAAGAUGCUUUUUUGAGGAAUGAGCCUGGGGUAUAUGGAACUCUGAAGAAAAAAAGGAGAGAGAGAGAGAGAGGGCACUCAGAAAGCAUCAUCAGAAGUUCUGAGGUGCACAGUAUUACUAGUGACUACACAGGUGGCUCUAGCGCCCAUCACUAACAGAAAUCACCCAACUGUUCCCAGCCCCCAAAUAUGCAUAAGCUAGUGCAGGCACAGUCUGGCUCUCUUAUUUGUUUUCCCAGUGGGCUAGUCCUUGGACUUUGGCCUCUGCCUCUUCAGUAGCACACCAUAGAGAAACUUCUGGGUCUGACUCCUACCAGGUAGACCUGUUUUAUUUCCUGUCUAUACAAAUUCAGUACAACCCCCUUCACUUCCAACCCAAUCAUUAAAGAUUGACUUCCCUCCAGCCAUGACCUUCAUCCCUGCCUCAAGUAAAGGAAAAUACAACAGACAUCAGUGGAGUGAUGGAGUCCCAUGUCAGAUCCUGAGGACAGGAGACAAAACGAGAUGAGAAUUUUAAUCCCAAGAAGCUUGGGGCAGAUGAGAAGAGAACCACGAAUUUAUCCAAAAUCCCCAGAGCUAAUAAAAGGAAGAAGAAAGAAGAAGAAGAAGAAGAAGAAGAAGAAGAA
rnacentral:lncRNA from 1 species